GCGCACGGGUGAGUAACGCGUGGAUAACAUACCUAUUGGUUCAGGAUAACUUGUCGAAAGACGGGCUAAUACUGGAUAAGUUUGCUUGGAGUGCGCUCCGGGUAAAGAAAGCAGGGCAACUUGCGCCGAAUGAAUGGUCCGCGUCCCAUCAGCUUGUUGGUGAGGUAAUGGCUCACCAAGGCUACGACGGGUAACUGGUCUGAGAGGACGACCAGUCACACUGGGACUGAGACACGGCCCAGACUCC
rnacentral:rRNA from 1 species